rnacentral:rRNA from 1 species
GCCAGCAGCCAUAUCACCCUGCAGCCCAAAACUGGUCGCCCACUGAAGCUAAGCAGGGUUGAGCAUGGUCAGUACCUGGAUGGGAGACCUCCUGGGAAAAUUAGGUUGCUGCUGGAA